GAUUAAUGCAAAUGAGAAUGAAAGAACUCUAAAGAAGAGGACACUCAUCUGAAUGUGUGGUGUGGUACUUACAAGGCUGCAAUACUUAACAACAACAUGACACAGUUUAUUAAGCUGUUUCGCUGCAUCGAGAUGUCAAAAACCAGUAAGGACAGGGUUUCAGGAUCUGCUGCCUGAGGCCAAGUUCCCACUCGCAGGACCGCUCCACUUCACAUUGAGGCGCCACUCAAGAUAAGAUAAGAUUU